UUUAUAUUAACUCAAAGGAUGGAGUUAAUAUUACCAAGGGAGAUAAGUGGAAGUUAAUUGGAGGGGCUAGAAGGACACUAGCUCGAGAUCAAGUUUUAGUGUUACAAGAACAAGAUCAAGUCUUAGUGUUGAGAUAGCAAAAAGAAGAGGAGUAAGAAAAAAGAUCCAAUGGAAAGGAUAAUUAGCAGAAAAGAUUAAGACAUUGAAGUUAAGUAUAGUAGAGAGUUGCCUUACAAGAGAAGAGUAUUCAGAAUGGUAUCAAGAUCAAGAAGAGUAGAGGGUUGAGAAACAAUGAUAGGU
rnacentral:lncRNA from 1 species